rnacentral:ncRNA from 2 species
AGUAAUCUUCGGGGUCGGGUGAAAGUCCCAACCGGCGGUAUAGUCCGCGACCCGCAGUAUCUGCGGCUGAACCGGUGACUUUUCUGUGCAAAGGAUGCAUGGCAGGGGAUUCCGGUACCGACAGUAAAGUCUGGAUGAGAGAAGAAGGUU